GAACAGAAGUAUAUGAUUUUACCCAUUACGCGCUGUUGAAGUGCUGAGCAAAUAUUUCUGCCUAAAAGCCGCAUAAAUAUUUACCGUAUGCGAAGAGUUAUAAACAUAACGCAACCAUAAUCACUACUGUUACCCAUACGCGAUAUUUUCCCAGUAAUGUCUAUGAGCAAUGAAAAAACUGUAUCAUGGCCAUUGUUUUCGUGGUUCCUAUAUCUUUUAUUUUCUCCGAACGGUAUAACCGUUUCCCUACUGAGCAACCAUAUGUGAAUAUUCUUCCACCAUACAAACUGUAGUACACUGCCCUGGGAUGGGUUUGUUUAUUUUGUUGCAGCUAAUUUUCGACCGCACAACGCAGUUUUGGUUUUGUUAAGAAACACCGUAAUAAUAUUCGUGUUUCUGAUGCUGACGCUUCAGUUCAUAUUCCCCGCUCUACGCUUAUUCCAGAGUGCAGCAUCAUGUGGAGCUGAAAUGCAAGAGAGCUACCGCUUCGGAAUCAGCGUGCCGGAGGUUUUGAUUUCCAUUGUUCCAGAUGGAUAUAAGAUCACCUGCUCCACGAUUUCCAUUGGGAAGCAGAAAUAAGGAAAGCUUUGAUGUGCUUAUCGAAGUAAACGAUUCGUCCGUGACUGAUUUGUUUAAUUUCAUACUGAUACGGAAAUAUGAAACCCAAGUAUAACGGAUAAUGGAUGCGGUCGUGGUGUGCGAGAAGAUGAGCUUACAGGCAACAGUAAAUUCCAAAUACAAAAAUGUGAAUAAAUUAAAUACUUAAAAAUGUUAUCUUAAA